CAUGUUGCCCAGGGUGCUCUCGAACUCCUGAGCUCAAGUGAUCUACUCACCUUGGCCUCUGAAAGUGCGGGGAUUAUAGACAUCAGCCACCAUGCCUGGCCCAGGAAUAUAUUUUCUUAAACACUGGCUCUUGCCUAAAAUAUCAGAAGGAAAGGGGAAAAUGUAAAUACAUAUAAUUGAAUUGUUCCUUUGUGCCUUUUGACUCUUAGUCUAUAAGGUAGUUUUUUGGGGAAAAUUAUUCUUGUCCGAGAGUUUCCUUAAGAGCACAGGGUGUUAUAAUUUCUUAUACAGUGGUUUUCAAACCUUUUAGCGUUGAAAAACCUUGAGUGAAACAAUAUAUAAACAUAAAAGCUGUAGUGAGAAAAUCAUUAUCUCGUGUAUUUGAGUUUAUAGUUUGUGUGAAAUGAUUAUGAGGAUACCAUGCUUUCACUUAUCUCUAGACCACUUGCUUUGGAGAUGUCCUAGAAUUUCUAUAACCAAUCUCAGAGCUAUGUGAUGACUGCUCUGUGCAGUCUUCACACAUUAAUCACUGGUUUAGAAAUUAACUUUUAAUUGAUGUGAUAGCAAAGACAAGACUGAAUUUCAGACAUUUCAAUGUUAGAACGGAGGGGAUCUUUCUAAUCACCUUGUUCAUGCCCUUGUUUUAUGAGAGAAAGCUGAGUUUAGAGGAACGCACAUUCGCAUGGCCUGGUAGGCAGAACUGGAAAUAGAACUUGCGUUUCUUCAGUUUCAGCUUUUACUCUUUGGGCUGGCUACCUUUGGAGGAUGACUCUCAGGUCCAGAUUGCGAGGCCAGAGAGGAAUGCUGGAUAGAGCUUAGCAAUGGCUGAAGUAAUGCUGGCUUAAGCCAGGACAACCUGGUUACUUUAGAAGGAAAUCUCCUCACCACCACGGUGCUGCACUCUCGUCAAUUCAUUCUGAGACACAGUAGCAACACCCACAGGUGGAAGGCUGUGCCUCGGGGCUUUGCACUCUUCAUCUCCUCUGCAAGUCAGGAAUAUUUAUUUUACUUGAUGGAAACAGAUUCAAAGAGAUGAGGUAACAACUGAAUAGUAGUACUUGGAGACUUCAAUACACUGCUUUCAAUAAUGGAUAGAACAACCAGAUGGAAGAUCAGUAAGAAAAGAGAAGACGUGACCAACUCUAUAGACUGACUAGACCUAACAGACAUCUAUAGAACACACCACCCAAGAGCAGCAGAACACAUAUCCUUCCCAAGUGUACAUGGAACAUUCUCCAGAUAGACCCUAUGUAUAGAAGUCAAUAACAGAAAGAACUUUGGGAAAUUUACAAAUAUGUGAAAACUAACAGCAUACUACUAAACAACCAGUGAGUCAAAGAAGAAAUCACAAGGGAAAUUAGGAAAUACUUUGAGAUAAAUGAAAAAGGAAACACAACAUAGGAAAUCUUAUGGGAAGGAGGUAAAGCAGUGCUUAGAGGGAAAUGUAUAGCUAUGAAUGUCUAUAUUACAAAGGAAGAAAGAUCCCAAAUCAAUAACCUAACCUUCCGCCUUAAAGCAUUGGGGGAAAGAAAAAAGAACAAACUAAACCCAAAGCAAGCAGAAGGAAGGAAAUAAUAAAGAUUAGAGCAAACAUUAAUGCAAUAGAGAAUAGAAAAACAGUUGAGAAAAUCAACAGAACCAAAGGUUGGUAUGUUGAGAAGAUCAACAAAGCUGACAAACCUUUAGCUAGAAAGAGGUGAGGUAAUUUUCCCAAGGUGACUCCAAUAGCAAAUCGCAGAGCCAAGAUUCCAAAGUAGGACUGUCUGAUGUCAAAUCUGGGGUUGUAGCUUUGUCUCCCACCUGGACUAGGAGUGUCUCGAGGAUCAGGAGCUUGUCUUACUCAUCUGUACAUCCCCAGUGCUUUGCUCUGUGCCUGGCACACGUAGGGGCUCAGGAAAUAUUUGCUGAAGUAAAAUGAAAAGUAAACCUCCUCCCCACCCUUAGCAACCAUCUGUGUGAGAUGAUAAAUUAUGCUUCCAAUGCAGAUCGAGCUGAAUUGCACUAUUUCUGAUGAGAAAAGCUGAAAACAGCAAACUGCUUGUCCUUAAAAAUAAACCCUUCAGCUUCAGAGAUUUGGCCCAGAAAUGAACCGUGUUAUAGCUCAAGCCCUGAGAUUGAGUUUAUUACCCUGGAGCCAGGGGUGAUGGAGUUUGUGACUGGAGAGAGAAACUCGAUCACCUUGACCUGGCCCCUGGAUGCACAGUGCAGGCUGGUCUGCCCUUGUUCCCUGUCCUGGGCCCCGGAGGCUGAACACCACUCACAGGAAGGUGAGUGGUGUUUCAUAUCAUAACCACUCACCCUCUGACUCCACUCAGAGGGACAGCUGAUCCCACAGAGCUCAAGACACUGAAUCUUGUCCACAGACCGAUAGAACAAGGGUUCAGCGAUGGCUUCCCAGCUGAGUCAGACCAAGCCAGACCACAUGGAGCCUAGCUUCCUGAUAUUUCAUAAGGGGUGAAAUGUAAAGAAUGUUCACUUUCAUUAACCCAAGGACAUGUCGAUAUGUCCUGAAAGGCUGGGAGGAGAAAGUGAUCCCAGGUAGAUUCUAGAGCAGGUUGCUACCACAUGUUCAGGCUGGAGUGACAUGGUCAGCUGUCCUGGGGGGUAGGGGAGGACACAGACCCUUCACCAAACGCCAUCUCUUCUUGAUCUCACAAUGGCUCUGUGAGGAAGGCAGGGUGCAGGUGGCUUGCCCAUUUUUCAGAAGGACGAGAUGAGGCCCUUAAAAGUUGCCCUACUCACAGCUGGUAGAAAAACGAAUCCAGUUUUUUGGACUCCAGCAUCUUUCUGCCCCCUCCCCACCCGCCUCCCACCUCCUUGGAGGCUUGCGGGGCUUUGUAUACGUUUCCCACAAAAAAUCUGGGCUGCUGGGUGGGACGCGGGUGCUGUUCACAUUCGUAUGUGGUUUUCCCCGGCUUAUAUGCAACAGCUUCUUUUUCUCUUAAUUUAAAGGUGACUCUUCUGGAAGCCCCCAAAGUGGAAUUGACGCUAAAUUGAAAAGAAGAUCUUUCUAGGGCAAGAGCUUUGUUCUCGUGAAUUUUCUGCCUCACCAACCAUGGGGAAUGUGAGCUGGGGGGGAAAAGUCUGUUAAAGCUGGUCAUUCAUUUCAGGGGGCCGAGGAGCUGUUCUGAAGGAGCAAAGUCUCCUCAUGCUCUUGGCCUUUUGAUCUACUCAGGUUCUGUGGCAGGAAGACAGGGAGGGAUCCCUGAUCACCCACAGCCCUCCCUGCUGCUGUUGAGGCAGCAUGAUGAUGCGGGAUGGAGCCGGAAUUAAAAAUAAAAAAAAUAUAAGCUUGAAUUCUACUUUAACAUGAACAACCUCUAAUAUCAUAAAAUGAGUACAAUAAUAUUUUUUCCCAUAGAAAGUGAUGAACUGCCACAUGUACUUUAACCAGUUGUAAAAUGUCUUCUUCCCUGUAUAUGUGUCUCCAGCUGUAUGCCACCACAAUAUCUGGCACACCUGCACUGUUCCAAAUGUUGGGUUUAAAAAUUUCAUUUUAUGAUUAGAAUAAAAUAGAGAAAUAGUAUCAAUGAAUGUUAAUAUAGCAUUUAGUGACACAGCAGUUAGGAUUAAGUUCAAUUACAUACAGCAGUGCACUCAAAAUAUGGUGGCUCAAAUACAAAGGAUUCAUUUUCUUCUUGAUAUAUAAAAGGUGUAUUUGGGAGUUUUCAGAUAGGGUAUAAACAAAAAGAAAAAAGAAAAAGAAGGUGUAGAGGCAGGCAGUCUGGAGCUAGGAGCUAGUAACGUCAGCCCUCCAUCAUCAGAGAUCCCAGCUCCUUCUGGCUUUCCACUUUUCCAUGCUUAGCUCAUGAAGUCCAUCCUCAGAGAUGCCGCAUGAUCUCGCUUGCUGCUGGAGCACAAGCCAUCGCAUCCGCA